CAAGAACCAAGUGACGUUCCAGGGGGAAAAAAAAAUUCAACACCAAAUUGGGUAAUUCAGUAAUUGUUUUAACAGUGUUAGAUCAAGGAGGUGGUUUAAAAGACAGACACACACACAUUUGGCUCUUUAUUUUUAAAAAAGAUCAGACGUCCUUGGAAAAUUUGACUACUAACUUUAAACCAAAAUGUCCUUGUUCAUAUAUAUACAUAUAUAUAUCUAUAUAUAUACACAUACAUAUGCAUAUAUAUAUAUCUAUACGUAUAUAUAGAUAUAUAUAUCUCAAUCAUUUCUCUUGGGAUGAUGGGUCAUUUUAACAACUGCAUCUUUUUACUCAUGCAUUAACCCCUUUUCCAAAACAAACUUGAUGUUGGGAACACGAUGACACGGUGCACCAAUCCAUCCAAAAUCCUAGACCUAACACUUGGUGAUUUUUUUCUUAAGUUGGUUUGCCAUGGUAUAUUGGCUUCUAUUUUCAAACUGAUCACGCUAAGGAUCUUUCUCUCCCUUUUAAUGCUCUUGCCAUAAAAAUGGAAAAUUGUGAACGUGAUCUAGGUGUCCCUGGCAUCGCAGUAAAGCUAAUGCUCGUUGACUCCAAUAUUUCAAAUCCUGUAUUAGCCGCUCAGGUGAUUAAGGAGCCCGGAAUUUCAUUCCUCUACAUACAUUUACUUGUUUCUGCAUGUGGAGCAAGGAAGAGAGUGAGCACACUCCGAACGAAUGUUUAACAUUCCAAGUCACAAUUUUCUAUGAUCUGUGUUUCCAAAAUGAUUGGGUGCUUGAGCUUUUAAAGUGAAGACCUGGCAAAUUAUGGUCUCCGGGGGCAAUGUAGAACUUAAUCUGCAGCAGGCUAGAGCAGUUUGCUGUGCCAUUGCUCUAGAAUGGCUUUGCAAAUUAAGGGUUCCUGUUAAUCAGGGUUAAGCGUCUCCCGUCACCCCCACCCCGGCUCUUCUUGGCCCUCCAUUGCUAUUUGGUAAGGAAUGGAGCUGCCUACCGCAUGGCUCUGCUUCCGUAUUAUCCUGCUGCCUCCCAGCUCCACCCUUGAGUGGCGAGAAUGAUCUUUUCCCUUUUCUCCAUCAGUAGUAAUCUUUAGAGACCUUCCAACCUAAUAAUAUUUGUUUGCAGAGAUAAAGGGCAGGAGUACACUUCUUUUGGUCAUUUUUGGUUAGCGGUGUGAUUGCCCUAGAAAGAGUGAAGCCCGAGAAAUUUGAUAUUGGUCUUCUGAAAUUUUCCCCCAAAUCACCUGUAAAUAAGAAUACAGGGAAUUCUGCUCCCAAGAGGAAUUCUCUGCAACUGCUUAUUUGAGAGCACUUAGCAAUCAGUUUACCAGUGGUAAUUAUUGAGCACUUACUUUGCGGAGGAGAAGAGUUGGUAGACUCGAUCCCUGCCCUUAAGGAGCUUACAGUCUAGAUUUCUGGGAAACUGUGUGAUAAACUUUAAUUCACCAGUCUUCUCGGUGCAGAGCCACAGAUUUCUUAAACUGAGGACUUAGGUGGAAGGAGUACGUGUAACUUUUCAUAUGCAAAUAUGAAAAUUCACAGCUUGGGUCCGAUGAGGCAAGGGAUCCGGUAUCCUCAGAAAAAGGUGUAGGGUGAAAAGUCAUAAAACUUCCUCAACGGGUGGACUUUAGUCAGUCUUGUUGGCUUGCUCUGCCAGCUGCUGACUGGGCCCUGCAGUGAAAGCUAACUCUUCUGCCAGCAAGUGACCAGUCUCACUGAGAAGGGCUCCCAUCUUCCAAGCCAACAGAACCACUUCGAUUUUGUACCGUGAUCUGUCGGAACUUCUAAAUUGACCACUGGGCUGUGGUGGCCUUUGCAAAUGAAGAAUUAAGCUACAGUCAUCAAACCAAUUCAUUUGAUUCACGUUGGGAUUUCAGUUUUAUCUGCCAAUCCUAGAAAAUUCAACACAAACGGGCAGUCUUUUAGGAAAAACGAACGUACAACCGCUUCCAUUUUGUAAAUCUUACUCAGUAAGCAGAGACGACAUUUUCUCUCAGCCGAAGUCAGAUCUUCGUGUUGUCAUACCAGCCCCUCUCAUUUAGAAUGAUUGCUUGAGAUUUCCCUUUGUUGCAGCAGAGCUGUUUGUUUUGUACUCUGUAUUGUAGAGCCUUUCCAUAACUGAAACUUAAUUUUACAAAGGUGACAGCAGCAUUAAAAGACGAAAGGUUUUUUGACAUAUGAUAAGCGCCAGGGAGAUUCCAAGAAAUGGUAACUUGUUCUGCAUUUGUACUCUCUGAGAACACUCAUUUGAAGAAUCAUGUGCCCCAGAUUUCCUUGUUACCGUGGCUUAGUUGAGAGCACUUUUAUCAAUUCAACCUGGGUGGCCAUGGAAACUUCAGGCCCGACUGCUCCAGACAAUGAAGGCUUUUCUAUAAUAGAUCUUUCUUGUAGCCUAGCUACUUUGUUUCAGUUGACUCUUCAGUGCUUUCAGCCGAGAUAACUCAUUAUGCCUUAAUUCAAGGUAAAGCGAUGCCUGCAUGUCCUGCCAACUCAUCAGGUUCUUUCACUAAAUUAAGAUUUAAUGGUCUGACUGAAAGUGAUUAAAGGACAAAUUAACCAGAAAAACCGAUUCGCCUCGUAGUGCCUUUUGAAUCCAUCUAGUCAUUUCGUCAACGCCCAAGUCAGCAACCAAAUGACAACCCCUUAGAGGCAAAAAUGUGACUUUGAUUUUGAGGGAAUCUGUACUCUCCCCUAAAACCUUAAACUGAAAUAACUUGGUGUGGUUUUUUUCCAGCCCAAAUGCUUUUCAACAGUCAGUGUUUUAAAGAACCUGUAAGUGGGUCCGGCCUCAUUUUUGAGGAACAAGUCCGACUAAAAUGGUGGUACAUAUUUUUUUUUUUAAUCUUCAAAACCACCCCCCAGAAGCACUCUAUCCACCAUGACGCUCUUAAUUAUAAAAGCAGAAUGUCUCAGAAACAUUGUUUCCAGCUAAAACAGUUGCAGAUUUAGAACUCAGCAGAAAUGCUGAGUGUUUUUGUUAAAGCUCCCACAGCCUGAAGUAUUAGGGUACGUUUGAAAUAGUUAUUUCCUGGCACAGUCAUUGUUUGUGGACAAAUGGUUUGUCCUAAUAACCACCUUUUGUUAAAUUAAAAAUGAAAAAUCAGUGAGAGCUUAUCUAAUUACUUCAUCCUAUUAUAUCCAUUUCUUUCUGAAUCACACUCCAAUGUUUGUUGGGACUUUAGCUACAGUUUCUGUCCAGCGUAACCAAAUUCACCAGUUGCUCUAGGAAAAUGACUUACUGUUCGGCACCAGAGUCCAAAUCCUUGGCGAAGAUUUGGAUGAGGGGCUGGAGGAAAUAUCAGCUAAAGAAGAAAUCUACUCCAGUAAACUGAAUCCAGAAGUCUGCCAGAGAACAGAUUCCUGAAAUCUGGAGUCCGUGAACAAUAAACGUUGCAGUGAAGAACUAAAGCAGCUCGAUCGAAAAUGAAGAUAAGAGCAUAAAAAGGAUCCUUCUCUGCUACUGACCCCAUCAACCCACUCAGUUUAAGUGCAGCCGUAUUUCUGUGGGUUCACAGCAGUCAGAACAUCCUGAGUGGAGUGGAGAUCUUCGGUAACAACCCAAGUUACCGAAUGGUGCCAGUUGGAAGAGGAGUCAGUCACAACGGGCUUUGAAGAGAUAAUUCAGACGUGCACUACAGAUCAUUGGACUGUCUUGAAUUUCCAGCUAUGAUUUACCAUUUCAACAGAACUACUUAACCUUUCAGUUUGCCUGAGGUUUAGCAAGAUCGAGAAGUUCACCUCAAGAAUAAGAGAAACGCAUCAGAAUGAAAUACUAAGGAAUGAAUGAUUCGGUGACUUGAAGAGGAGGUGCAAAAUAUUCAAGAUGAACUAAAUUUUUAGGAUCCCCUGAAGCUACUAAAGACAGCUCUCUGAUAUGAAUCCUCAAGUGGAAUAUUCUUCUCUUGACAAAUCUGGAAAAACUCUCAAUCUCCUCCCACCAUGAACUUCACUCAUCUUCUCCCUCCCCGCCAGGAGUGGCAUGCCAUUCAGGUGUUGCCAUUAGCACAGAAACAUUCUCCAGAUAUAUCAGUUAAAUGAUGGCAAGACUUGCGUAAUGAGUAUCUUCCUUGCAGUAGGGAUGUUAGAAUUUCUUUUCCAAAUAUUGGCUGGCAGUACGAGAAUUAUCCAGCAUGUUCCAAUCUCAGUUUCUCUCAACUGAUUGGGAACAAUUAUCAGCUGCUCUGAUGCGUCGCUUUCUUUCCUAGGGUCACUACUGCAGGGGGCUUCAUGUGAUUUGUUAGUUGUUUAGUAAGGGUCUUUCAUCGUUUCUCUUAUUAGGUAACGUGAUUUAAUCUACAGUUCUUGAUGUAGUUCUCCCUUUGUCCUGUUUGAAAAAUGGAGAUAUGAAAAACAAGUAUGAGCCUCUAAAACAAUCUAAACAUAGUAUCUAUCAUUUCCAUUUUACUCAAUUGCUGAUCUCACCUUCAAGUAAUUACCCCCCAGCUCUUCUAAAACACAGAAGUUGCUUUCUAGCAAAACCCUGCCUUAGGGAAAAAAACUCAGGCUACAAAACUCACUGCCCAGCCAUGUGCUUUAGCCAAACAGGCCCACAUUAUUGGUCAGAAAUUCCCUACUUCCCAGUUAAUGCUUUAGCCAAAACGCAUAGUGAAAGUGUGCAUUUUGGCAGAUGGUGCAUAUCCAUCGUGACUGAAUGGUUUUAUAAAGCUUUAAUUAGGUCAGAGUGCGAUAUUAUCACCAUGUGAAUAAUUGUUUGCACUUAAUGCAUGAUGCAUACCUAACCGAUCCUAUCUUCAACAUAAAAGAAAUUGUCUUCGGAGUUUCAUUUACCAAAACAAUUUGACUAGCUUUCAUUGUUUUAGCAGUUCUGUAUGUUUCUCAAAAAACUGAAAUUUUUUUGUUUAGCUGAGUUCAGCUCAGUUUGAGGGGCCAUGUAAUUGAUUUUAUUAAUUGGUUACCAUCAUUCUACAGUUAAAGUUUUAUUGAUAUUAUGGUAGGGGUGGUACUCAUGGAGUGUGGACUCCUGUGUUGAGCACCGUACUGAGCCCUGGGGUGUAUACAGAAUAAGUCCAGAUCUGGUCCCUGCCCCAAGAAGAGACUCAGGGAGACUCCGGUAGGUCUGUCCUUCCAGGUAGGGAAGGACAGACACUUAGAAAAGAGAAAUUCAUAGAUAAGCCAGAGUCAGAGAGCAUUUAAAAUAUGAGAAGCAAGAGGAGUAGACUGUGAGCUCACGAUGGACAAGGAACGUGUCUGUUUUAUUGUUAUUGUGUACUCUGCCUGGCGCUUAGUACACUGGUGUGCACACGAGGGCUUAAUAAAUACGAUUGACUAGGAAGGCAGUUGGAGACGGCUGUUCUGACGCAGUUCCCUCUUCCAGGCACACAAGUGUUGGCAGGUCUCAACUUUUUUUGUUGCCAGUGGUGUUCGUAGUGGGUUUGGGUUAUUUUUAUUAUGACUCCCUGCACAUAAUAUCUACAAGAUCCAAAUGAAUCAAUUGUAUAGCCAGAGGAGUGGCUACCUAAGUGAAUUGAAUUGUCCCUUCUUGCUGGUAGAGGAUUGGGUCCGGAAACAUAACUAAAAUGUGAAGUAAGGUGUUGAGACCAGUUUGAGACUGAGAGUUUUCUUUUGUUUGUCAGAAUAAGAUAGAAUCUUCAAGAAAUAGCUGGUUGUUACUCAUUAGUAUUAAGCCUCUACUCAGUGUAGACUACUUCAGCGCUUGGAGAGAGUACCGUGGUUUUAGCAGACACGAUUCCUAGCCUCUAGGAGCUUAGGGACCGUCUCCCCAGUUGCCAGGGAAGUUUUCAAACCAGCUCAACUGAAAAGUCACCUAACAGCAAUUUAGAAAAGAGCAUUUUUGCAAGACUGGAUGGGAGAAUUUGUGAAGCUAAGGCCUUUUGGGUGCCAUGUGAUUUGGAGCCGGUGGAAUGUGUAACCCAGAUGCAGAGUCCCAAGCUUUAAUUCAGGGCAGUACUAACCUUAAUAUAUAACUGAAACCAGGCCCAAAGCAACAGCUAUUUCCUCAUUUUAGCUCUCUAAACCCCCUAAGAAUCCAUAGCUGUUUUAAAAUUGUAUAUUUAGAAAGUGGGAGGAAUCCUAAUAUUUUUUGAAGUUUCUAAAAUUUGGUUCAUUCAUUUUGGGUGGUGUCACCAGAGUAGGGUAAUGUGUUGGCUUCUUUCAGGGAAGCAGAGCAUAUUUGGAAAUUUUAUCUCAAGACUCAUACAAUUCAGAGAACAAAGAAGGGUUAUAGCUUGCCUAACUCAUGUUCUUUGGGUAAUUCUUGGGAACUAAGUUGUCCCUGGGGCUCUAAGAGGAGCAGAGAACUAAAAGCACAUUACCAGAAUCUUCCUGAAUAAUAGCUCCCUCAAUCACUCAGUCACUAGUGCUUACUGUGAGCGGAGCAUUCUACUAAGUGCUUGGGACAGUUCAGUGCAACAGGGUUGGUUAAUAUGUUCCCUGCCCACAACGAGCUUUAUAAUCUAGAGAACAAGAAGGCAUGACUGCUUCUAGACUCAACCCAUCCAACAUAACCUGUGGUAAAAAAGAAGAAUAAUAUAAACUGAGGAGCAUUAUGGUCUAGUGGGUAGAGCAGGAAUUGCUCAGAAGUGUCAAAAGGACCUGGGUUCUAAUCCCUGCUUCAUGGCCUUAGGCAAUUCCCUUCACUUUCUGUGCCUCAAUUACCGCCUCUGGAAAAUGGGGAUUAAAACUGUGAGCCCUGUGUGGAAUAUAGACCACCGUGUCCAACCUAAUUAGCUUUUGGAAUGUAGUACAUGCUUAGCAAAUACCAUUUUAAAAAAAAGUGAAGGUAUCAGGAAUCGGCCCCUUCUGGAUUUAAGAAUGCUAGGCUCUAGCUUUCCAUGCACCCAUUCCCCCUUCCAUAGGGUAAGCCCAAAAGAAUUCUCCCCUUCUCAACU